UACGGAGGGGGCUAGCGUUGUUCGGAAUUACUGGGCGUAAAGCGCGCGUAGGCGGACUGUUAAGUCGGGGGUGAAAUCCCGGGGCUCAACCCCGGAACUGCCUUCGAUACUGGCGGUCUAGAGGUCUGGAGAGGUGAGUGUAAUUCCUAUUGUAGAGGUGAAAUUCUUAGAUAUUCGGAGGAACACCAGUGGCGAAUGCGGCUCACUGGCCAGAUUCUGACGCUGAGGUGCGAAAUCGUUGGGAGCAAACAUG
rnacentral:rRNA from 1 species